ensembl:lncRNA
AUGUGCCACAAACUUUUUCCAAAGGUCAGUCAUCGCUCAUUACAAGCUGAAAACUGUUUAGUGACUAAUUUACCCAGUGAAACAUCUUUUAAAGUCAGAGCUGAAAACUGCGAGAGUGAAGGAAGUGAGGAUGCAACCACAGAGGAUAGGCGAGAUGGAGAGAGUGAGCAUAGGUUCCGUCGAAAGGUGACCCGCGUUGGAGCGUGUGCCGCUUCAGGAGUAAGUGCUAGAUUAGCAGUAAUGAGGAAGUGGUCUGAGGUGUGCAGUGGAGUAACUAAAGUGUUGUCCACUGAGCAACAGCGCGUGUAGAUGAGGUCCAGUUGGUUGCCCGAUUUGUGAGUCGCUGUAGUAGAGACUCGCUUGAGAUCAAAUGAGGCGAGCAGAGUGUUGAAGUCAGCAGCCUGGGGUUUAUCUAGGUGGAUGUUGAAGUCACCAAGCAGUACCAGAGGAGUACCAUCUUCAGGAUAGUUUAAUAGCAGCACGUCCAACUCCUCCAAGAAGUUUCCCAAUGGACCUGGGGGACGAUAAAUGACCACAAAGUGGAUUUGAACAGGGUGGGUUACAGUAACAGCAUGUGAUUCAAAUGAACCGUGACCUGUAGGUGGUGGUUGAAGAUCAAAUUUCCAAUCUUUCGAUAUAAGGAGACCAGUACCUCCACCCCUCCCAGUCGUACGAGGGGUGUGGGAACAAGUGAAAUGAGUGGAGAGGGCUGCGGGAGUGGCAGUGUCCUCAGGUUUGAUCCAGGUCUCAGUCAGUGCCAUGAGGCUGAGACAAGAAUGAGUAGCAAUAGAAGAAAUUAAGUCUGCUUUGUUAACAGCGGACUGGCAGUUCCAGAGACCAAGUGGAAUAGAGAGCGUUGGAGUAGAGGUCAGAGGGACAGGCCUUAGACUUCAGUUAUAUGAGCCUAAAAUUCAAUAAUAUUAAUUUAUGAUAUAGUUUAGCAAUAUCACACCAGCAAGAGUAGUGUUUCUCCCCAGUAUCUGCACAACUGCAAAGUUGAUACUGAUUUAUACAAACACUUCAAUAAAC